CGGGGUGUGGCGCAGCUUGGUAGCGCACUCGCUUUGGGUGCGAGGGGCCGUGGGUUCGAAUCCCGCCACCCCGA
rnacentral:tRNA from 1 species